AGCCCUGCUUGCAGGGGGGAUUAGUGGCGAACGGGUGAGUAACACGUGAGUAACCUGCCCCCGACUUUGGGAUAAGCCCGGGAAACUGGGUCUAAUACCGGAUAUGACUGCGGAACGCAUGUUUUGUUGUUGAAAGAUUUAUCGGUGGGGGAUGGACUCGCGGCCUAUCAGCUUGUUGGUGAGGUAAUGGCUCACCAAGGCGACGACGGGUAGCCGGCCUGAGAGGGUGACCGGCCACACUGGGACUGAGACACGGCCCAGACUCCUACGGGAGGCAGCAGUGGGGAAUAUUGCACAAUGGGCGCAAGCCUGAUGCAGCGACGCCGCGUGAGGGAUGACGGCCUUCGGGUUGUAAACCUCUUUCAGUAGGGAAGAAGCGAGAGUGACGGUACCUGCAGAAGAAGCGCCGGCUAACUACGUGCCAGCAGCCGCGGUAAUACGUAGGGCGCAAGCGUUAUCCGGAUUUAUUGGGCGUAAAGAGCUCGUAGGCGGUUUGUCGCGUCUGCCGUGAAAGUCCGAGGCUCAACCUCGGAUCUGCGGUGGGUACGGGCAGACUAGAGUGAUGUAGGGGAGACUGGAAUUCCUGGUGUAGCGGUGAAAUGCGCAGAUAUCAGGAGGAACACCGAUGGCGAAGGCAGGUCUCUGGGCAUUUACUGACGCUGAGGAGCGAAAGCAUGGGGAGCGAACAGGAUUAGAUACCCUGGUAGUCCAUGCCGUAAACGUUGGGCACUAGGUGUGGGGGACAUUCCACGUUUUCCGCGCCGUAGCUAACGCAUUAAGUGCCCCGCCUGGGGAGUACGGCCGCAAGGCUAAAACUCAAAGGAAUUGACGGGGGCCCGCACAAGCGGCGGAGCAUGCGGAUUAAUUCGAUGCAACGCGAAGAACCUUACCAAGGCUUGACAUGUGCCAGACCGGAUCAGAGAUGGUCUUUCCCUUCGGGGCUGGUUCACAGGUGGUGCAUGGUUGUCGUCAGCUCGUGUCGUGAGAUGUUGGGUUAAGUCCCGCAACGAGCGCAACCCUCGUUCCAUGUUGCCAGCACGUAGUGGUGGGGACUCAUGGGAGACUGCCGGGGUCAACUCGGAAGGAAGGUGGGGAUGACGUCAAAUCAUCAUGCCCCUUAU
rnacentral:rRNA from 1 species